rnacentral:rRNA from 1 species
UGCCAGCAGCCGCGGUAAUACGGAGGGUGCAAGCGUUACUCGGAAUCACUGGGCGUAAAGAGGUGUAGGCGGGUUAUUAAGUCAGAUGUGAAAGCCAAUGGCUCAACCAUUGAACUGCAUUUGAAACUGAUAACCUAGAGUAUGGGAGAGGUAGAUGGAAUUUCUGGUGUAGGGGUAAAAUCCGUAGAGAUCAGAAGGAAUACCGAUUGCGAAGGCGAUCUACUGGAACACUACUGACGCUGAGACGCGAAAGCGUGGGGAGCAAACAGGAUUAGAUA